rnacentral:rRNA from 1 species
AGUGAACGCUGGCGGUAGGCCUAACACAUGCAAGUCGAACGGCAGCACAGUAAGAGCUUGCUCUUACGGGUGGCGAGUGGCGGACGGGUGAGGAAUACAUCGGAAUCUACUUUUUCGUGGGGGAUAACGUAGGGAAACUUACGCUAAUACCGCAUACGACCUACGGGUGAAAGCAGGGGAUCUUCGGACCUUGCGCGAUUGAAUGAGCCGAUGUCGGAUUAGCUAGUUGGCGGGGUAAAGGCCCACCAAGGCGACGAUCCGUAGCUGGUCUGAGAGGAUGAUCAGCCACACUGGAACUGAGACACGGUCCAGACUCCUACGGGAGGCAGCAGUGGGGAAUAUUGGACAAUGGGCGCAAGCCUGAUCCAGCCAUACCGCGUGGGUGAAGAAGGCCUUCGGGUUGUAAAGCCCUUUUGUUGGGAAGGAAAAGCAGCAGGUUAAUACCCCGCUGCUCUGACGGUACCCAAAGAAUAAGCACCGGCUAACUUCGUG